GACCACGACGUUGAUAGGCUGGGUGUGGAAGCGCAGUAAUGCGUUAAGCUAACCAGUACUAAUUGCCCGAGCGGCUUGACCCUAUAACUUUG
rnacentral:rRNA from 1 species